UUCCCCGACCUGACAGGUGCGCGGCCCGGGCCGACUGGGCUCUCAGAGCCGAGACGUGGGGCCCCGACCCGGCCGCGGGGCUGGGCCCGCUCCGCCGCCCCGACCCCGCGUGGUCCGCCAACUCCCUCCUGCGCGCGGAGAGGACGGGCAUUGUUCUCGGGGCCCCGGAGAGCGCGAGAGCGGCCUGAGGUGCUCCAACAGGGCCCCUGAGCAGGACUGGAGGCAGUCAGAGAAGGACCUGUGGGAGGAGCUGGCAGAAAGCAGGCGGCAAAGGGCCGAGCUGGCCAGCCAUCUUCGAGCAGUGCUGGAGGCCCUAUCGGAGCAAGCCCUUGUGCUGCAGAGGAGAGCAUGAGCUGGGACUCAGCUGGUCCUAAAGCAGCAAGUGAGGCCCUGUCUUCCCCCACUCCUUCUUCCUGGGCUUUCUGUAGCUGAAAGGAGGUCCGCUGAGCUACCAACAUCCCCUUAGCAGGCUGAAAGCUCCAGAAUGCACAGAGCUGGUGUCCACAUCUGGUGCCAUAUUCUCAGGGAGGCUUGCCGGGGUCUGGGGCACCCAGAGGAAGGGAAAUGGAGUCCCCAGCAAGGCUGCGGUGUUGAACAGAGAUGUCUCUGAAUGGUACCCCUGGAAGGGUGCAGGGUGUUGCCUGGGAGGCAUAUGUUCGGGGUGGCUAGGGACACCACUGGAGGUGAAGGAAGGGCCAGGGAGGCCCCCCUUCAGGGAGAAUCUGAGGCCCCCCAGGGAGAAUCUGAGGGAGGGAGGGGCUGGUUUUAGCUCCAUAGACUGAAGAGCUUCCUUAGAAGCGCCAUCUCCCCAAGUGAAACAGGCGAUCCCCAGAGAGGGGGAGAUGGCUGUGCAGGCUGAGGGUUCUUGGGAAGAUUACCAGCAUCUCCUACCUCGUGUGAGGGUAGGAAGGACACCGUGUGAUGGCCCAGUUACCCAAGCCUUCAGUGACUCCGUGUCUUAGCUCACAGCUGGCCCUCCUGGAGCCACUCCUCCCUUACUAGGCCUGGGGGACCCUUGGGACCUAGUUGACAACCUCAUGUCUGCCCGCCCUUUAGCAUGCCACAGCAGUUCUGCUGGCCUCCACCCUGAAACCCGUCAGCAGCUGGAGAGUAGCUGGAGAGGCAGUGUAUCUCGGACCCAGCUGGAGGCAGAGGAUGCACAGCUGGAGCGUGUCGUGAUAGAUAACAGCCAAAAGCAGCCCCUCAGGGCCCCAGGGCACGGGUCCAUGCUGGGCUGUCAGCUGGGCUGUUGGCUGCCAGUCCGCCUGCGUUAUCAGAGGCUGCAGACACUGCCCUGCCUGGUGGGAGGCAGGGAAGCUAGGCCUACCUAUCCGAGGCUCUGUGCUGCCUUUGACCCUCCCACUCAGUCUCCUCCCAGCAAGUGGAGUGCUCCCUGGCCUGCCUGGAGCAGGAGAGGCACCAAAGGCAGGGAUCCCAGGGACAGGCUGAGUGGAGGAGGCCAGACCAGGACAUAGAAGACAAGAUCCUGCUGCUGCAGACAGAAGUGGAAAAGGCCCAGCGGCAUUUGGACCAGAUGACCCAACAGCCUCUUGGCCCAGAGCCCAGCCCGGGGAUACCCCAAUACACUCCAGGUCCCGGAGGUACCAGUGCCGCUCAGGAAACAGCUAGAAGCACAAGAAUCACAUCCCAGGCUUCGUGAGGAGAUGGCUGAGUACUGUAGGACACGCUGGCACCAGGUGGCAGUUGCCCUGAAAUUUAAAGAGGAGGAACUGCAGAGACUCCAGAGGCAGAGUGGGACCUGGCCUCCCCAGCCUCAGCUUGUGGAUCCAGAGCUGGGUACUGAGCUGUACUGGACCAGCGGACCCCCUCCUGGGAUCGGUGGACUUGGAGCAGAAGAGUCCCUCCAGGACUGAAGACUGCACACACAAAACUUGGGAACUGUCAACUGCCCUGUUACUCACCUCGUGAAAAAAACUGGAUUUAAAUGAGCGCGAAUGGAGCUGACAAUUCCCAGAAACUCGAAUUGGGAUGGUGAGAUUUUAGUUCAGCCCAGGGCGGUCUCAUGCGUGGGUGGUAAAGUUGAGCUUUGAGGUGGUCUUCAGAGGGAAAGGAAUACCCUCCGCGGGCAGAGCUUCCCGGGUUCCGGGCCCUUCGGGACGUCAACACAGGUCCAACUGCCCUUAGGCUCCUCCGCACACCCUGGAUCCAAUAAUAAAUCCCUUUCCUCUCUGCCUCCA